UCUGCCCACCGGACUCCUCCUUGCCAUUUGAAUCCCGCAGGCCAGUGUCCCCCUCACUGCCUGGUGCACUGCCCGUAGGUGUGCCAGAGCAGGCGCUGCAGGAAGAAUGCCUUCCAGGAGCUUCAGCGCUGUCUGACUGCCUGCCACAGCCACGGGGUUUGCAAUAGCAACCAUAACUGCCACUGUGCUCCAGGCUGGGCUCCACCCUUCUGUGACAAGCCAGGCUUUGGUGGCAGCAUGGACAGUGGCCCUGUGCAGGCUGAAAACCAUGACACCUUCCUGCUGGCCAUGCUCCUCAGCGUCCUGCUGCCUCUGCUCCCAGGGGCCGGCCUGGCCUGGUGUUGCUACCGACUCCCAGGAGCCCAUCUGCAGCGAUGCAGCUGGGGCUGCAGGAGGGACCCUGCGUGCAGUGGGAUCACUGUGCCAACCUCCUGGACUCUUACCACGUUGCUCAGCCCCAAAGAUGGCCCACACAGGGACCACCCCCUGGGCGGCGUUCACCCCAUGGAGUUGGGCCCCACAGCCACUGGACAGCCCUGGCCCCUGGACCCUGAGAACUCUCAUGAGCCCCGCAGCCACCCUGAGAAGCCUCUGCCAGCAGUCUCGCCUGACCCCCAAGCAGAUCAAGCCCAGAUGCCAAGAUCCUGCCUCUGGUGAGAGGUAGCUCCUAAAAUGAACAGAUUUAAAGACAGGUGGCCACUGACAGCCACUCCAGGAACUUGAACUGCAGGGGCAGAGCCAGUGAAUCGCUGGACCUCCAGCACCUGCAGGCAGCUUGGAAGUUUCUUCCCCGAGUGGAGCUUCGACCCACCCACUCCAGGAACCCAGAGCCACAUUAGAAGUUCCUGAGGGCUGGAGAACACUGCUGGGCACACUCUCCAGCUCAAUAAACCAUCAGUCCCAGAAGCAAAGGUCACACAGCCCCUGACCUCCCUCACCAGUGGAGGCUGAGUAGUGCUGGCCACCCCAAAAGGGCUCUGUCCUGGGAGUCUGGUGUGUCUCCUACAUGCAAUUUCCACGGACCCAGCUCUGUGGAGGGCAUGACUGCUGGCCAGAAGCUAGUGGUCCUGGGGCCCUAUGGUUCGACUGAGUCCACACUCCCCUGGAGCCUGGCUGGCCUCUGCAAACAAACAUAAUUUUGGGGACCUUCCUUCCUGUUUCUUCCCACCCUGUCUUCUACCCUAGGUGGUUCCUGAGCCCCCACCCCCAAUCCCAGUGCUAUACCUGAGGUUCUGGAGCUCAGAAUCUGACAGCCUCUCCCCCAUUCUGUGUGUGUGGGGGGGACAGAGGGAACCAUUUAAGAAAAGAUACCAAAGUAGAAGUCAAAAGAAAGACAUGUUGGCUAUAGGCAUGGUGGCUCAUGCCUAUAAUCCCAGCACUUUGGGAAGCCGGGGUAGGAGGAUCACCAGAGGCCAGGAGGUCCACACCAGCCUGGGCAACACAGCAAGACACCGCAUCUACAGAAAAAUUUUAAAAUUAGCUGGGCGUGGUGGUGUGUACCUGUAGGCCUAGCUGCUCAGGAGGCUGAAGCAGGAGGAUCACUUGAGCCUGAGUUCAACACUGCAGUGAGCUAUGGUGGCACCACUGCACUCCAGCCUGGGUGACAGAGCAAGAC
rnacentral:lncRNA from 1 species